CCCCGCCACCCGCAGCUCCGCCCGCCGGGCCGGGACCCGGCGGAGGCGGGGAGGGGCGGGGCGGGGGCGCACCUGUUUGGCCAAUCGACCCCACUCCUGCCACCCCGCCCCGGCCAGCCUUCCAGACCGAGCAAGUCCGGUCCCCUCGGCUCUGGGCACACGCCCCCUGUCCGCUCUCGGACCCGGGAUCCAGGCCGGGCCACAUGCUCCCCUCCCUCCCCUUCCCGGUCCCAGCCGGCCGUCUCAGCCAGCCCGCCGAGGCCCUCCGUGCGGCCGGGCUGCGCUCCUUCCCCAGCCCCCGGGACGUCAAAGACAAAAUGCCGGCUUCGGGCUGGGGGCUGGGGGGUACAGGUCUGAGGACUGCACCGCGACUCUGCCCACCCCUCUUCUACUCAACACCCUCCUCUCCCACAAGGAUUCGCGCGCGUCCUCGGGCCCCUUACACUUCGCGGUGAGCUUGCCUGGAUCCCCGACCGCGGGGGCCGCGGGGCUGAUGCGGGUGCAAAGCUCUGGGACCGGAUGGCAGACAGGAAGACUGAGGCCGAAGGGAAGCGAACGCUUCUCAGACGUGGUGGCCGGACUGCGACUUUUUCAAACUAAAGGCGCUGAGCCCUGGAACAGUCCCUGAAAAACCCCCUGCACGAGAGAUAAUAUGUCUCAGAGCCUGCCUCCCAGAAAACCCAGCCCGUGACGGGGAGCGCGGGAGACAUUUGCUGUGCGUCCUGCUGACGAGAAUGACCCAGGAGAGGGGGAGAGGUGAGUGAUAUUCGCGGAAGCAGGCGAGAUCUCAGGAGGGGCAGCGAGGCAGGCUCAUCCUGAGACAGAAGCAGAAAUUGGAGGCAAUCUGGGGUGGGAAUGGGGUCCCACCAAUGGGGUCACUCCCAAUGGAGUGAGGCAUGGCCUUAACUUUUUUUUUUUUUUCCUAUGCGGCUGCAAGUGACGUUGGCUGCUCAGAGGAGGGACAGCUAUUCGAUAGAUGUUAGAAUUACAUAAGAAAUUAAUGAUCAUAGCGGCUGAUAAAUGUUGCCACAGCAGUAGU